UUGACUCAAUUUUAUUUAUGACAUAAGUCUAUGUUUGGAUUAAAGGAGAUCAUCACAAAUGUAAGUACAAACACAUUGGUCCUCAGUACAAACUCCCUGUCCAUCAUAAAUCCUGUAACACUUAUCUUCACAUUUCUCCUUAUUGCAAGAAUUUUUUUCAAUCUUCUUAACACAAGUAUGUGGAUAUGAUUUUUUUUUCUCAAAUUGAGCUUUCACUUGAGUGUUUGUCAUUGUAACUGCAUCAAAAAUUGAAACCACAAAAUAUUAUUAGUAUAUCAAAUCAAAUGAAAGAAUAUUUUUGUAAAAAGUGUACUAUGAGUUAGUUGAGAUACUAAUGGCAGUCUCAUGAAUUUCUGACUUUAUAAGUGAAAAAUCCAAGACACAUAAAGUCAUAUUUUUUGAAAUUCCUAACAGUAAAGGGGAAAAUUUCAGAUUCUAGGAUUUCAUCAAGAAAUACUGUGAUGGAGUUUAACGUUUUUAAGUUUAAAAUUCAUGAUAGUGUCAUGAAUUUUGACUUUACAAGUGAAAAUUUCAGGACAUGUAACAAUCAUAGUUUUUGAAAUUCGUAAUAGUAAGAAGAAAAACUUUAUUACAGAUUUCAGAUUCUAGGAUUUCAUUCAGAAAUAUUGUGAUGGAGUUUAACGUGUUUAAGUUUAAAAUUUAUGAUAAGAGUCAUGAAUUUUGACUUUACAGGUGAAAAAUCCAGGACACGUAUGGUCAUAGUUUUUGAAAUUCGUAACAGUAAAAAGAGAAACUUUAUUACAGAUUUCAGAUUUUAGGAUUUCAUUCAAAAAUACUGUGAUGGAGUUUAACGUUCUUAAGUUUAAAAUUUAUGAUAGAGUUAUGAAUUUUGACUUUACAAGUGAAAAAUUCAGGACACGUAUGGUCAUAAUUUUAGAAAUUCGUAACAGCAAAUAGAGAAAGUUCAUUACAGAUUUUAGAUUCUAGGAUUUCAACCAAAAAAUACUGUGAUGGAGUUUAAUAUUUUUAGCUUCAAAAUUCAUGAUAGAGUCAUGAGUUUAACAAAUCGGAUUUUUUUUUUUAAUGACUUUUGAAUCUAUGACUAUUUAGCGAACACAUAAAAAUAAUUUGAAAAAAAAGAAAGAGGAUAAAGGCUAAACCUGAGAAAAUGAGAAAGAAACAAAUGAUAAUAAAGUUCAACAACUUAGCCAUGUUGCUUAUUGAAAUUUGAUGAAUUCAAUAUUUUUAGAUUU
rnacentral:lncRNA from 1 species